rnacentral:lncRNA from 1 species
AUGAACACUGUCAAAAUGGUUUCUUCUUUCCACUGUUUCCUCAAGACCUUGCAAUGCAUUUUCCUGAUUGAAUACUGUCAGCAGGGGGAGCGUCAACAGCACAGGAUAGUCUCCUACAGGAGUUACUGGGUCUUCUUGGGAGGAAAAGGGACAGACCUGCUGAAUCAGAAAGGCAGGAUUUUGGCCAAGUUUAUGCUGGCAUUGAAAUAAAAUAUCUUGGGUAAUCUGCAUUGUCUGGACAUUCUGUAUUCCUGGAUGAUUCUUCUCUUCAGUGAGUCAGUGGCUUCUGGUAAAUGGUGAUUACCCCUCAGUCUACGUGAAAAGUUCAGCUAAGCUAGGCUGUUGUAAUUAGUUCAGACAUCAAUAUAUU